AUGGAUAGCAUGUGUACACUGCCUGCCGUGUCGCCCUAUCAAAAGGCGCCCUGGACGGUGGACAUGCAUAUGCAGCAUGGCCCAUCUCCUUUCGCACUCUCUUUGCCCUUCUCCCCCGAUCUAUUUGGGCCCCGACAUGGGCCACGCAGGCUACUGUUGUUUCUCCUCAAGCCACGGCUGGCUGCUGAUCUAUUUGAGCCUUUAGGGGACAGCUGCAAUCAUGCGUGUCUCUGCCUGGUCUGUAUUCCCAUGGCACUAAUACUAGAUAGUAGUAGUAGUAGCUUAUUACAGCUAAGAGCGCGUCCAUGA
rnacentral:rRNA from 1 species